rnacentral:rRNA from 1 species
GUGGGGAAUAUUGGACAAUGGGCGAAAGCCUGAUCCAGCCAUGCCGCGUGUGUGAAGAAGGUCUUCGGAUUGUAAAGCACUUUAAGUUGGGAGGAAGGGCAGUAAGUUAAUACCUUGCUGUUUUGACGUUACAGACAGAAUAAGCACCGGCUAACUUCGUGCCAGCAGCCGCGGUAAUACGAAGGGUGCAAGCGUUAAUCGGAAUUACUGGGCGUAAAGCGCGCGUAGGUGGUUUUGUAAGUUGGAGGUGAAAUCCCCGGGCUCAACCUGGGAACUGCCUCCAAAACUGCAUGACUAGAGUACGGUAGAGGGUAGUGGAAUUUCCUGUGUAGCGGUGAAAUGCGUAGAUAUAGGAAGGAACACCAGUGGCGAAGGCGACUACCUGGACUGAUACUGACACUGAGGUGCGAAAGCGUGGGGAGCAAACAGGAUUAGAAACCCGGGUAGUCC